CAACAAUCAAGACACAUUUCAUUGGUUGUAAAGCAUUUUGAAACAACUAGUGAUCAUGAAAAGCAUGACGAAAAUGAUUCCUCCAAGUUACCUUUAUCAAUGAGUCAGACGAUCAACCCUGGUUCAAUAAAGCAUGCUGGGAGCAGCACCAGGUUUACCUGAAAGUGAGGUGUCAACCUGGUGAAUCUAUACCACAGUACUACAUGCUACUAAGCAACAUAAACAGCAAGUGAUAGAGACAAAUCUGGAGCAGCAACCAACAAGCAUUCACUUUCUGGAAAUAUCCUCCCCAGCAUUCAAGAUUCUGCUUAAAUUAUUCUGAUUCCAGAAAGAAGUUUUGAAUGAACAUCUUCCAUGAUACAAUA